ACACAACCAGCCUGGCAUGCGCCAGUUCUGUACUGCCCGCAGGAUGAAGGCAUACCUGCCUUUCAACUGAUGGACUUGCCUGUGCUUCACUUAUCGGUCCAAAGUGCACAUGGAUAAUGCAGCAGAUUCAUUUGCAACUCUCUCAGCGAAGCCCUGCAUACACAUUUGUUGAUUCUAAGUAGGCGCCUAAUAUCCAGCUCCCUGGAAUUUGAAGGCCAAGGUCUCUGCAGAUCUUCUCUCCCAUGGUGACUGGAAAUAGACUCUUGCCCAUAGUGCUGAUUUGUGUCUAUUUCACCUGAGAAGCCAGACCAUGGUCACAGACGAGAAGACUAUUAUUUUGAAUUUUGGCCUGAAGGUGGGAGUUAGGCCUAAGAUUGAUGGGGGAACAGGGGAUAUCUCAGGCCUAGGAGCUGAAUAGGAGGGACAGUCUCAGUUGUGGGUGUGGGGCAGAUGGAGCAGGAAGCCAAGCAAGGCAUUCCACCUCCUGCCAGACAGUGCUGUGAGGGCUUAAGUGAUUUCCUUCCAUUCAAUGCGAAGUUGUAGAAAUAGCCAAAAGGAAGCAUCAUGUCAUUCUCAAGCUAGUCUAAAUUGUUUACCACGGUUCAGGCCAAUCUGCAAGGUUGGGACAUGUGGGGACCAGGGAUUUAAUGUCCCAAAUUCUCCAGAACUUGACUAAACGAGUAGGCUGUCAAUUUUCCUAUAAUCCAGCCAAAUGUUCCAGAAGGCUCUGCUUCCAAGGGCAUUCUUCAGACUGUCUCCUGCAGCUGGAAGGGCACAGGAACCUGGGAGAAGCAUCCCAGGCCUUGUUUGGAAAGAGGUUACCAAGAAUCAGUGCACGCCAUUCUGAACGGGACUUUCUUCAGCACUUGGAUGCUGUGUUCCAAGAAAGUAACUUCUUUACCUUGUUCUCACUCUUGCCUCCCUCCCUUCUCUCCUGGGAAUACGCCUGGGGUCUGGCACGCAGCAGGCUCCUGUCAGAGUGACGUCACCAACGUAGAGGAGGGACAAGCAUUACAGAGGUGUGUUCCUACGCA